GACGAACGCUGGCGGCGUGCUUAACACAUGCAAGUCGAACGGAAAGGCCCUGCUUUUGUGGGGUGCUCGAGUGGCGAACGGGUGAGUAACACGUGAGUAACCUGUCCUUGACUUUGGGAUAACUUCAGGAAACUGGGGCUAAUACCGGAUAGGAGCUCCUGCUGCAUGGUGGGGGUGGGAAAGUUUCGGCGGUUGGUGAUGGACUCGCGGCUUAUCAGCUUGUUGGUGGGGUAGUGGCUUACCAAGGCUUUGACGGGUAGCCGGCCUGAGAGGGUGACCGGCCACAUUGGGACUGAGAUGCGGCCCAGACUCCUACGGGAGGCAGAAGUGGGGAGUAUUGCACAAUGGGCGGAAGCCUGGUGCAGCAACGCCGCGUGCGGGAUGACGGCCUUCGGGUUGUAAACCGCUUUCGCCUGUGACGAAGCGUGAGUGACGGUAAUGGGUGAAGAAGCACCGGCUAACUACGUG
rnacentral:rRNA from 1 species